rnacentral:rRNA from 1 species
GCUCAACCGAAGAAGUGCAUCGGAAACUGGGAAACUUGAGUGCAGAAGAGGACAGUGGAACUCCAUGUGUAGCGGUGAAAUGCGUAGAUAUAUGGAAGAACACCAGUGACGAAGGCGGCUGUCUGGUCUGUAACUGACGCUGAGGCUCGAAAGUAUGGGUAGCAAACAGGAUUAGAUACCCUGGUAGUCCAUACCGUAAACGAUGAAUGCUAAGUGUUGGAGGGUUUCCGCCCUUCAGUGCUGCAGCUAACGCAUUAAGCAUUCCGCCUGGGGAGUACGGCCGCAAGGCUGAAACUCAAAGGAAUUGACGGGGGCCCGCACAAGCGGUGGAGCAUGUGGUUUAAUUCGAAGCUACGCGAAGAACCUUACCAGGUCUUGACAUACUAUGCAAAUCUAAGAGAUUAGACGUUCCCUUCGGGGACAUGGAUACAGGUGGUGCAUGGUUGUCGUCAGCUCGUGUCGUGAGAUGUUGGGUUAAGUCCCGCAACGAGCGCAACCCUUAUUAUCAGUUGCCAGCAUUAAGUUGGGCACUCUGGUGAGACUGCCGGUGACAAACCGGAGGAAGGUGGGGAUGACGUCAAAUCAUCAUGCCCCUUAUGACCUGGGCUACACACGUGCUACAAUGGAUGGUACAACG